AUUGAACGCUGGCGGAAUGCUUUACACAUGCAAGUCGAGCGGCAGCACGGGGGCAACCCUGGUGGCGAGCGGCGAACGGGUGAGUAAUACAUCGGAACAUGCCCAGUCGUGGGGGAUAACACUUCGAAAGAAGUGCUAAUACCGCAUACGUCCUGAGGGGGAAAGCGGGGGAUCGCAAGACCUCGCGCGAUUGGAGUGGCCGAUGUCAGAUUAGCUAGUUGGUGGGGUAAAGGCCUACCAAGGCAACGAUCUGUAGCUGGUCUGAGAGGAUGAUCAGCCACACUGGGACUGAGACACGGCCCAGACUCCUACGGGAGGCAGCAGUGGGGAAUUUUGGACAAUGGGGGCAACCCUGAUCCAGCCAUUCCGCGUGAGUGAAGAAGGCCUUCGGGAUGUAAAGCUCUUUCGGCAGGAACGAAACGGUGAGCUCUAACAUAGCUUGCUAAUGACGGUACCUGAAGAAGAAGCACCGGCUAACUACGUG
rnacentral:rRNA from 1 species